GGCAAAGGCUGCUUUCUGUCCGUCUGGCACAUCGUCCCUGCAAGAUGCCAUCUCGCUCGCAUUCUUCCCGACCAUCCCAGCCAGGGCUGAGGAAUCUGAAAGGCAUUGCUGAUGCUCCAGCCGCUUGAUGCGCCUCGUGUACUCGAGUUGCCCGAUUUGCAUAUGCCGUGCAGCCAUACUUAAUGAGUAAGAGCCACUAAUCUCCUGGAGGUUCCUCAUGGAGGAUGGGCUUGAAUGGCUUUUCGUGGGAAAGUCAGCAUCAAAGAUUCUGCAGCCCAAUCUAACCAGGACAUGGAAACAACUACUUGUGAAUUUAAAACCAAAGAAAACGAGACACUCUGUGAGAACAAAAAG